UACCGUGGAGUUACUCUUUAUGGGUUGUGAUAUCGUUAUUUAGAUUGUAAAGUGAAUUUUGCAAUAAAAAGGAGAGAGAAAGAAAAUUUGAAACAAUAUGGAGAAAUAAACAAACGUCUACAAAAUUUUGUAUUUAGUCCCAGUUCGCAUAGUUUAUUGAUGAUUGCUAUGUUUCUGCAUCUAACAUCCUUUGUUUCUGCUGAUAGGAUAACUUGAGGUUCAAUGGGAGAGACUUGAAAAAAAUAGGUGAGUUUGCAUCUUGCUUCUUGGUUGCAUAUAGCUGACUUUUUUGCAGUAAACUUCUAUUUAAAGUUAUCCUGGUCCUGCAUUAAUGGUUUUGCAUUUCAUUUUGAUUGACGUCUGAAUUUGAUGGUUGUUAUGAGAACUAUUCAGAUGAUUUUUGAAAGACUGUUUCUGGUGGACAAUCUUAUUAGUGUGAAAUGACUAUUAUUAAUCUGUAGUCACUGAUGGGUAGUUGAGGAAGUCUUCAAAUCCCUGCUACCCUCAAUUCCUGAUUAUUGAUUAAUUAAUUUUUUUUGUUGAGCAGCCGAAUGCAUAUCUAGAAAGACGGAUGUUUAGUACUUGCACAGCUGGUAGAAGAUUCUUAAUCAUGAAGUUGUGAAAGACCCUUCGACAAAGGAGAAUCUUUAUUCUUUUUCGUAAAAUCUUUGGUUACUUGGUAAUGAUAGUGAAGAUCCUUUCUGUUAAGUUACUGUCCAUUUAUCAUGUUUGUGGUCAUUGGUAUAUAAACAAGAUGUUAAUCAACUAACGUGCGUGCAAUGCACAUUCACCCCUCUAGUACUGUAAACAAGAUGUUAAUCAACUAACAUGCGUGCAAUGCACAUUCACCCCUCUAGUACUGUAAACAAGAUGUUAAUCAACUAACGUGCG
rnacentral:lncRNA from 1 species